rnacentral:rRNA from 1 species
UCUGGAUGAGUUGCGAACGGGUGAGUAACGCGUAGGCAACCUGCCUGGUAGCGGGGGAUAACUAUUGGAAACGAUAGCUAAUACCGCAUAAUAGUAGAUGUUGCAUGACAUUUGCUUAAAAGGUGCAAUUGCACCACUACCAGAUGGACCUGCGUUGUAUUAGCUAGUUGGUGAGGUAACGGCUCACCAAGGCAACGAUACAUAGCCGACCUGAGAGGGUGAUCGGCCACACUGGGACUGAGACACGGCCCAGACUCCUACGGGAGGCAGCAGUAGGGAAUCUUCGGCAAUGGACGGAAGUCUGACCGAGCAACGCCGCGUGAGUGAAGAAGGUUUUCGGAUCGUAAAGCUCUGUUGUAAGAGAAGAACGAGUGUGAGAGUGGAAAGUUCGCACUGUGACGGUAUCUUACCAGAAAGGGACGGCUAACUACGUGCCAGCAGCCGCGGUAAUACGUAGGUCCCGAGCGUUGUCCGGAUUUAUUGGGCGUAAAGCGAGCGCAGGCGGUUAGAUAAGUCUGAAGUUAAAGGCUGUGGCUUAACCAUAGUACGCUUUGGAAACUGUUUAACUUGAGUGCAAGAGGGGAGAGUGGAAUUCCAUGUGUAGCGGUGAAAUGCGUAGAUAUAUGGAGGAACACCGGUGGCGAAAGCG